GAUGCCAGGGUCAAAAUUCUCAAAAUAUACUAUGCUUGCAUAGUAUAUUUUGAGAAUUAAUGACCCGCCCCGAUAUGAGCAUAAAAGGGAAGCGCUAGCUUCACGUUAUGCGAAUAUCGGGUAGGAUUGUUAAGAGUGCAACGCACGUAACAAUCCGUAUGGC
rnacentral:sRNA from 1 species